rnacentral:lncRNA from 1 species
UUUAGUUUUAAAUUCUGUUUUUCAUUCAUCACCCUCCAAUAUGGGAAUUUGAUGGUACCCGCUCUUAAGAUCAAUUUUAUUAAAAACACAAGCACCAUACAAUUCAUCAAGCAUAUCAUCUAGCUUAGGUAUAGGGUGACGAUACUUUACCGUAAUGUUGUUGAUAGCUCUGCAGUCCACGCACAUUCGCCAAGUCCCAUCCUUCUUUGGCACCAAUAGAAUAGGCACAGCCUAUGGAUUCAUGCUUUCCAUCACGUAGCAUUUGCUCAUCAACUCCUCUACUUGCCUCUGAAGCUCCUUCGUCUCCUCGGGAUUGCUUCAGUAAGCUGGUUGGUUUAGAAUGACUGCUCCGGGUAUGAAGUCGAUUUGGUGCUCGAUCGCUCGAACUGGUGACAAUCCACUUGGCACCUCCUUCGGAAACACAUCUUCAAAAUCCUGUAACAAAGAUUUAACCACGCUAGGGAGGGAGGUGUUAGACUUCUCAAGAUAGAGGAGAGACUCCUUGUACACUAACAACAACACUUGUCUCUUAUCACUCAAAGUCUUUUUUAAUUCACUCCCCCUCGUAAAGAAGUUCACUUUUAGCUUUUAUUUCCAUUCAGCUAACUAUUUUUCUCUUUGCUCAACUGACUUUUUUCUCUCCUCUCAUGUGGCCUCUCUCUCUUUCCCCCUUUCUUGGCCACUUCGCUAUUUUCUCUCUUACUCACAGGUUCACUAUCUUCUCACAUUUUUGUAGAUUCUCUCACUCGCCUUUCUUCCUAAUUUCUCAAUUUUAUUUGGUUUUCAUACACC